UGUUUCCUACGGGGCGCAGCAGUGAGGAAUAUUGGUCAAUGGGCGCGAGCCUGAACCAGCCAAGUCGCGUGAAGGAUGACUGCCCUACGGGUUGUAAACCUCUUUUAUAAAGGAAUAAAGUGAGGCACGUGUGCCUUUUUGUAUGUACUUUAUGAAUAAGGAUCGGCUAACUCCGUGCCAGCAGCCGCGGUAAUACGGAGGAUCCGAGCGUUAUCCGGAUUUAUUGGGUUUAAAGGGAGCGUAGAUGGGUUGUUAAGUCAGUUGUGAAAGUUCGCGGCUCAACCGUAACAUUGCAAUUGAUACUG
rnacentral:rRNA from 1 species